ACGCUGACAGAAUGCUUAACACAUGCAAGUCUUUGGCGAAGCUGUGCUUGCACAGCCUAGCCAAGGCGGACGGGUGAGUAACGUGUAAGGAACUUGCCCUGCAGUCAGGGAUAACAGACGGAAACGACUGAUAAGACCUGGUAAAGUCAGGCGGACUCAUGUCCAGCCUGAUGAAAAGAGAUGCUGCAGGAGAGCCUUGCGUCCUAUUAGCUUGUUGGUGGGGUAACGGCCCACCAAGGCGAUGAUAGGUAGCCGGCCUGAGAGGGUGGACGGCCACAAGGGGACUGAGAUACGGCCCUUACUCCUACGGGAGGCAGCAGUGGGGAAUAUUGGACAAUGGGGGCAACCCUGAUCCAGCAAUUCUGUGUGCACGUUGAAGGUUUUCGGAUUGUAAAGUGCUUUCAGCAGGGAAGAAAAAAAUGACGGUACCUGCAGAAGAAGCGACGGCUAAAUACGUGCCAGCAGCCGCGGUAAUACGUAUGUCGCAAGCGUUAUCCGGAAUUAUUGGGCAUAAAGGGCAUCUAGGCGGCCAGAUAAGUCUGGGGUGAAAACUUGCGGCUCAACCGCAAGCCUGCCCUGGAAACUAUGUGGCUAGAGUACUGGAGAGGUGGACGGAACUGCACGAGUAGAGGUGAAAUUCGUAGAUAUGUGCAGGAAUGCCGAUGAUGAAGAUAGUUCACUGGACGGUAACUGACGCUGAAGUGCGAAAGCUAGGGGAGCAAACAGGAUUAGAUACCCUGGUAGUCCUAGCUGUAAACGAUGAUUACUGGGUGUGGGCAUGAAGAGUGUCCGUGCCGAAGCUAAUGCGAUAAGUAAUCCGCCUGGGGAGUACGGCCGCAAGGCUGAAACUCAAAGGAAUUGACGGGGACCCGCACAAGCGGUGGAGCAUGUGGUUUAAUUCGACGC
rnacentral:rRNA from 1 species